UAUACACUGGUUCCCGUAUGUUCACCGAAGUUAAGCAACGUCGAGCCUGGUCAGUACCUAGAUAGGUACCCGCUUCGGAAUACCAGGUGCUGUAAG